CGGAGGGGGCGAGCGUUAUUCGGAAUCAUUGGGCGUAAAGGGCGCGUAGGCGGCUUUGUAAGUCUUGGGUGAAAGCCCUCGGCUCAACCGAGGAAUUGCCUUGGAUACUGCGAAGCUCGAGGCUGGAAGAGGACAGUGGAAUUCCCGGUGUAGCGGUGAGAUGCGUAGAUAUCGGGAGGAACACCAGUGGCGAAGGCGGCUGUCUGGGCCAGUUCUGACGCUGAGGCGCGAAAGCGUGGGGAGCAAACAGGAUUAGAUACCCUGGUAGUCCACGCUGUAAACGAUGGGCACUCGGUGCUGCGGGUAUCGACCCCUGCGGUGCCUGAGCUAACGCGUUAAGUGCCCCGCCUGGGGAGUACGGUCGCAAGGCUG
rnacentral:rRNA from 1 species